AUGAACGCUGGCGGCGUGCUUAACACCUGCAAGUCGAGCGAGAAGUUUUGAAAAGAUUCUUCGGAUGAAAUUUAAAAUGGAAAGCGGCGGACGGGUGAGUAACGCGUAGGCAACCUGCCCCAUACAAAGGGAUAGCAUUUGGAAACGAAUAUUAAUACCUUAUGAAACUUAACUAGUGCAUGCUAGGUAGGUCAAAGAUUUAUCGGUAUGGGAUGGGCCUGCGUCUGAUUAGCUAGUUGGUGAGGUAACGGCUCACCAAGGCGACGAUCAGUAGCCGACCUGAGAGGGUGAACGGCCACAUUGGAACUGAGACACGGUCCAAACUCCUACGGGAGGCAGCAGUGGGGAAUAUUGCACAAUGGGGGAAACCCUGAUGCAGCAACGCCGCGUGAACGAUGAAGGCCUUUGGGUCGUAAAGUUCUGUUCUAGGUGAUGAAAACUGACAGUAACCUAGGAGAAAGCCCCGGCUAACUCCGUG
rnacentral:rRNA from 1 species